rnacentral:rRNA from 1 species
UGCCAGCCGCCGCGGUAAUACGGAGGGUGCAAGCAUUAAUCGGAUUUAUUGGGCGUAAAGAGCGCGUAGGUGGGCUAUUAAGUCAGGCGUGAAAGCCCCGGGCUCAACCCGGGAACUGCGUUUGAUACUGCAAGACUUGAGGACGGAAGAGGAAAGUGGAAUUCCUAGUGUAGAGGUGAAAUUCGUAGAUAUUCGGAAGAACACCAGUGGCGAAGGCGGCUCACUGGCUCGAUACUGACGCUGAGGUGCGAAAGUGUGGGGAGCAAACAGGAUUAGAUA